GCCAUUUUAUAGAUAAGAACUCAGGCCUCAUGUCUCACAGCUAGUAAAGGACAAAGCUGGGGUUUGAUGUCAGGCAGUCUGGUUCCAGAAUGUGGCAUUUAAGCACUAUGCCAUGUUGCCUAUAACGAUAACUAAAACUUGUUCAUAACGCGUCCAGAAGAUUGUAUAUGUGCGUCGGGGGGAAGUGUCACUUUGACAUAUUGAUCUAUUGAUAUAUUCUGGUUGUGGUUGAGGAAAACAUGGAGAAAUGGCAGUCUUUAUUGGUUAAACAACAUUGCUUAAGAAUAAGAAUAUUGGUUCAUCUAAAACAUGUUUAGAGUCCACCGCAUUCCUCAUUUUGAGGCUCCUUUCUUCGGUUUCAAAGCCAGCAGGAUGGCACUUAUCAAUCUCGCUGCUGCUCUGACCCUCGUGGCUCCCUCAUGUAAGGACACUUGUGAUUACACUGGGCCUGUGAGAAUAAUCCACAGGUAACCGCCCUUUCGAGUCUGCUAGGGCUGCAUAAUAAAAUACCACGGACUAGGUGGCUUGAAAAACACAUUUGUUUUCUCCACUUCUAGAAGCUUCUACUCCUGGAAGGCUGGAAGUUGAAGACCAAAGUGCUGGCAGGACUGGUAGUAGAGAGGAGGCCCCUCUCCUAGGCUUGCAGAUGGCUGCCUUCUCGCCGUGUCCUUGCAUGGCCUUUUCUCUGUGUGCAUAUCCUUGGAGUCUCUCUUCUUGUAAGGACACCAGUCAUCGGAUUAGGGCCCCACGUUUAUGACCUCAUUUACUCUUAAUUAUCUCCUUAAAGAUCAUUCUAUCUCCAAACACAGUUACCUUGGGAGUUUGGGCUCAACAUAUGCAUUUUGUGGGGGACAUAACAUCUUCCCAUCUAAAGAUCCUUAGUUCAAUCGUUUCUGCAAAGUUCCUUUUGCCAUCGACGAGUGUCCUAACUCUCCAUUGGCUACUCGGGUCUCUUCUCCUGCCCAGCACUGAGAACAGACUUCCUCCAGCUGCUGAUGCCCCUGAGGAACAUGGAACAUUCCCUUUUCUUGGGGCCACAGAGCAAGUAAGCAAGGUAGUGAACAUGGGCUCCAACUGACUCAAGAAGACGUGACAACUACAUGCAAAAUCUGGCCUGGCAUUGGAUCCUGGGCCGGAAAAAGACAAUUAGAAGGACAAUUGAUGAAAUUUGAAUGAGGCACCAGGGCUGUGUCCACACUGAACUAUGGGAUGCUCCUAGGAAAUGCUACACGUUUGAGCCUCUGACAUUCGGCACAUGCUCUGUCCAUCUGGAGCACCCUUAUUCCUUUCUCUACCUACUGUCAUUGCAUUUACCCUUCAAGACUCAGCAAAUGCUGUCUCCUCCAUGAAGGCUUCCUGAAUGCGCCAGAUCGCUCUAAUGUGAAGACAUCCUCGGUAAGACUCAACCAACGAUAUUUCAUCUGAUCAUCAUUUAGCCAAACCACAACAAUACUCCUGAGGCCUCUUCAGUUUCACUGACAGCAUCUGUCAUUUCAGUUACUGCAAAUGUGAUCUCUCGCAAUGAUGCUAGCUGGGUCUCUCUGUGGCCUGGAAGGAAAACGAAUACCAUUUUAAUAAAAAUAUUUUAACGUUU